rnacentral:rRNA from 1 species
GACGUAGGGCGCGAGCGUUGUCCGGAUUUAUUGGGCGUAAAGAGCUCGUAGGCGGCUUGUUGCGUCGACUGUGAAAACCUGCGGCUCAACCGUGUGGUCUGCAGUCGAUACGGGCAGGCUGGAGUUCGGUAGGGGAGACUGGAAUUCCUGAUGUAGCGGUGAAAUGCGCAGAUAUCAGGAGGAACACCGGUGGCGAAGGCGGGUCUCUGGGCCGAUACUGACGCUGAGGAGCGAAAGCGUGGGGAGCGAACAGG